rnacentral:lncRNA from 1 species
UUUUCCGGUCUAUAAAUAUACACGAAUUUCUCGUAUCAAAAAAUAAAUCUCAUUUCUAUUCUAUCUCCUUCUUCUUAUAACUCCUACCUUUUCCAUUUCCAUUUCCAUCUUAAUAAGAUUCUUUUUCUUUAUCAAAGCUCUCUGUUUCUAUAGAAAAAAGGUGAGAAAUCUUUCAAUCUAAUUCCAUUUUUGCAUCUUUCUCUUCUCUCUGUACGAUCUGAUUCAUCUUUUUAAAUUUAGCUAUAUAUUGAUUUUAGAAUAUCUGAAAUCCUUUUUGAAGAAGAAACUAGCUAUGAUCUUAUGAAUUCAUAAAAUCUUGAUUUGAUAAGAGUAGUUUUUCUUCUAUUAUGAUUGCUUCUUUUUGUCGUUUGUUUUUCCACAGUUUGUUUGAUCAAUUUGAUAAAUAAAUAUAUAUAAUUGAUACUUCUCUGUAAUUGUUUAAUUCCUUCUCUGUCUUAUACUUAUUUGUUUAUUAAUUAAAAUAAAAGAGUUUUUAUUUUUCAAGAAAGAUAAAUGAUUCUUGGUAUUUGUCUUCAUCUCUAAAACUUUCUCUGACAGAUUUGUGUAUUCUUCCAUUUUCAGGAACAAGAAUAGAAUAAGCCCAGUUGUUUCUUGUCUUUGUUUC